CUGGCGGCGUGCCUAAUACAUGCAAGUCGAACGGUCUUUCUAUGGAAGCUUGCUUCCACUGAGAAGAUAGUGGCGAACGGGUGAGUAACACGUGGGUAACCUGCCCAUAAGAGGGGGAUAACAUCCGGAAACGGGUGCUAAUACCGCAUAGUUUUCUUGAUCGCAUGAUCGGGAAAGGAAAGACGGCCUUUGUGCUGUCGCUUAUGGAUGGACCCGCGGCGUAUUAGUUAGUUGGUGAGGUAACGGCUCACCAAGACGAUGAUACGUAGCCGACCUGAGAGGGUGAUCGGCCACAUUGGGACUGAGACACGGCCCAAACUCCUACGGGAGGCAGCAGUAGGGAAUCUUCCGCAAUGGACGAAAGUCUGACGGAGCAACGCCGCGUGAGUGAAGAAAAGGGUUUUCGGAUCGUAAAACUCUGUUGUCAGAGAAGAACAAGUUGGAGAGUAACUGCUCCAGCCUUGACGGUAUCUGACCAGAAAGCCACGGCUAACUACGUGCCAGCCGCUGC
rnacentral:rRNA from 1 species